rnacentral:rRNA from 1 species
GGAAUCUUGCGCAAUGGGCGAAAGCCUGACGCAGCAACGCCGCGUGCGGGAAGAAGGCUUUCGGGCUGUAAACCGCUUUCAGUAGGAACGAAACUGACGGUACCUACAGAAGAAGGAGCGGCCAACUAUGUGCCAGCAGCCGCGGUGACACAUAGGCUCCAAGCGUUGUCCGGAUUUAUUGGGCGUAAAGAGCUCGUAGGCGGUUGAGUAAGUCGGGUGUGAAAACUUUGGGCUUAACCCAAGGAUGCCACUCGAUACUGCUUUGACUUGAGUUCGGUAGGGGAGUGGGGAAUUCCUUGUGUAGCGGUGAAAUGCGCAGAUAUAAGGAGGAACACCGGUGGCGAAGGCGCCACUCUGGGCCGAUACUGACGCUGAGGAGCGAAAGCGUGGGGAGCAAACAGGAUUAGAUACCCUGGUAGUCCACGCGGUAAACGGUGGUCACUAGGUGUGGGUCUCUUCAAACGAGAUCUGCGCCGUCGCUUACGCAUUAAGUGACCCGCCUGGGGAGUACGGUCGCAAGACUAAAACUCAAAGGAAUUGACGG